rnacentral:misc_RNA from 1 species
AAAAAAAUAAUAAUAAAACCCAGAAAAGAAGAAUUUUAUUUGUGGAAAGUGACGUGGCAUUAGGACCUAAACAACCGUACGGAUGUAGCUGAAAUGUCCAAAAUUUCCUUCAUCUAUGGAUUGGUCUCCAUCAUUUCCCAAAUUUCCCUCCAUAACUGCACUAGACUAGGGUUUGGUUUGUCUCAAUUGGAUUCGAAUACCUACUAUUAAAUUAAUCCUUUGAUUCCACUCUCAAAAUUCUCGAUCCCAAGUCAGACAGAGUCUAAUGGAAGUGGUCCCAGCCUCAACCUCUUCUGCUGCCGCGGGAGGUGGAGGUGGAGGCGGCGGAGGGCCAGCGCCUUUCUUGUUAAAGACUUACGACAUGGUGGAUGAUUCGUCUACGGAUGAGAUCGUGUCGUGGAGCUCCAACAAGAACAGCUUCGUGGUUUGGAAUCCUCCAGAAUUCGCGCGACUCCUCCUUCCUACUUACUUCAAGCAUAACAAUUUCUCCAGCUUCAUCAGGCAAUUAAAUACAUAUGUGAGUGUUUUUUUUUAAAUAUAUUUGUUAUUGGUAUUUUGUGAUUAGCGGUAUUAUUUUAUGUUUGAACCUUGUUUUUGGUGCUUGCAAUUUUUUUUUUCCUUUAAUUGAUGGAAGUGAGACAGUUCAAUGGCUGAUUAUGAUUUUAUAGUGUUCUCUAAUUCGAGAUAUGGUGAAGUAAGUUGUUAAUCCUUAGUGUUAACCAUCAUAUCCUCAAAGCUUAAAUUUAGCAUAGGAGAACUAAAAAUAGAAGAAUUUGAUAUACUUGAAAGCUUGACAUUGUAGUGUGGUUUAUUAAUGUAUUGUCUCAGUAUAGUUUUUAUUGUUAACAUGUCUCGAAUGCUAUAGUAUAUGGUUUAAUAACAUUUAAAUUAUAUGAAAAUUACUAAACUACCCUGUUUUAAAUAUAUAAAUGGUUAUUGUAUAAAAUGGGAAUAUAAAAAUUUAAAAUCAUCUCAAACUGCCGAUUUGGUGGUUUGAAGGUAAAAUGAUAAUUAUAAAAUCAUCAUUUAAAUCCAGAAUCACCAACAGUAUAAAGAAACAAAUAGUAUAAUCAUACUAUUUAAUAUGAAACCAUGGUUUACCAUGGUGAGUCUUAGUGACAAGAUAAAGACUAAUUAUAAGUGUAUUUGCUUUCGAACAGUAAUUAGAUGGAUAUAAUUGUUAUAAUACCAAGCAAAUGCACACAUGACGGGGAUCAACUUAAAACAUUUAUGAUUUCAGUAAAUGUCAACAUUUGUGCUUCUUGUUAUUUCAGGCAUGAUAGAAGAGCCUUUACAUUCAAAGACAAACUACAUCUAUCAUCUUUUCCUCAAGUUUAGUUGGACCUAUGAUGGAGUGCUAGAUUCAUGUUCUUUGAUCUUGGUGAAGAAUUCAUUUACUUAUUGUUUUUGUCUUGGAUAUUCCUUUUAGCUUGAAUUUUAAGUUUCUUCUUGUGAUUCGUUGCUUUCUUAAAAACUUAUUGUACUGUUUGUAUUGCAUCAAAUGAUUACUACUUGUUUGCAAUUCUGUGAUUUAAAUAAUUUAACCUUGCAUUUUUUGUUUGUUGAGGAAAAUUACCCAUUUAUCUAAGGUGUUAUCUGAAUGGUUAAAUUUAUUUCUAGACAUGUUGAUAUUCUGUAAGUUUCUUGCCAUCCUUUCUUUUUCUCCUUUUUUUCCCUUCUGGUGGUGGUGCUGGAAUUCAUCAUAUCAUCUUGCUUUUCUCUCUCCAUGCUGUAGCCCAUUCAUCUCUUUCUCCUCAAAAUGUUAUGGGGGGAACCCGUUUUUUAUUCUGUAAUUGGCUCAAAUUAUGUGUAUCAGCACUUGCUGUAAUUUGAUGACAGGGAUUCAGAAAGAUUGAUCCUGAGAGAUGGGAAUUUGCCAAUGAAGAUUUUGUGAAAGAUCAAAAUCAUCUUCUCAAAAAUAUCCACAGAAGGAAACCAAUUCACAGUCAUAGUCACCCUCAGGGGUCUUUGGUGGAUCCUGAAAGAGCAGCAUUUGAGGAAGAAAUAGAUAGGCUUGCACGAGACAAAGCUGCACUUGAGGCAAGUGUUGUAGUGAGCAAGCAGCAGCGGUCAGCUGAAAAGCUUCAGUUGGAAGAUCUAACUCAGCGGGUGGAUAGUAUGGAGCAGAGACAGGAAAAAUUGAUGACUUGCUUAGAGAAGGCAGUUCAGAAGCCUACUUUUAUUGAACAUCUUGGUCGAAAAAUAGAUUCUAUGGAUUUUUCUGCAUAUAAUAAGAAAAGAAGACUGCCUCAAGUUGAUCCCUUAAAGUCAAUUGCAGAAAAUAGUUUUGUGGACAAUCACAGUUGUUCUAGACCUGAGUUCGGGAAUGUUAUCCAUCAAGAUUUCUCAAAUAAGCUGAGACUGGAAUUGUCAACAGCUGUUUCAGAUGUUAAUUUGGUCUCAAAUAGCACACAGAGUUCCAAUGAAGAUGGGGGAAGUCCACAGAGAAAAAUAGCUGAAGUAGACCCAAAAGAUGCACCAACAGGAACAUCAUGUCUGCUAUUUGCAGCUGAAACAUUUGAACUUUCAGAUACUGGGACAUCUUAUACAUUUAAAGUGGAUCCAUCUUUCCCAAGAAAAGUGACAGUGAAUGAAACCCCAGGACUGCAUUUGCUGCAGCAGAAUUUGACUUCUAAUGAAGAAGUUGAUGGCCAUAUUUCUUGCCAUCUAAAUCUAACUCUGGCAUCUUCUACACUUCAAGUCAAUAGGAGUCCUUAUCCAGCUAGGAUGCCUGAACUACAUCAGGAAAUUUGCAAAUCUGCCAAAUCAAAGUUCAAUGACAAUGGUAAAGAAUCUGAUAUGAUGGUUACCUCAAAGGUCAGGAAUGCAGGUGAUGAGGAUACAAUUUUAUCUUCCUCAAAGGAAGCCCCAAGUAGCAAUCAAGGGCCUGCAGCUGCUCCAGCUCAAGUAAAUGAUGUAUUUUGGGAACAAUUCCUAACUGAAAGACCAGGCUCUUCUGAAAAUGAAGACGCAAGUUCUAAUUCUAGGUCAAAUCCAUAUGAUGAGCAGGAAGAUCGAAGGUCUAGCCAUGGAGUAGUGAGAAACGUUAAAAAUGUGGAGCAUCUGUCUCUUUGAGCACUAUUUUUGUUGUAAAAGCCUGUGACAAGUUUGUAAAGUGUUCUCCCAGAACUUUCAAUGAUUUAUAUAUUCACUACAUUUGAUAACAAUGUAUGUCAUCACUAGAUGUAACUUAUGACAUAACUAGAUGUAACUUAUCUUUUUGGUUUAAAUAUGAUAAUGUCAAAAUGUUACCGUUCCUUGUGGUUGUAUUGUUGUUUAUAUCCA